AUCUAAGCGGGAAGCGAGCCCUGAGAUGAGUCAUCCCUGACCCCUUGAGGGUCCUAAAGGGCCGUUGGAGACCACAACGUUGAUAGGCGGGGUGUGUAAGUGCAGCGAUGCAUUGAGCUAACCCGUACUAAUUACCCGUGAGGCUUAACCAUACAACACCCAAGAAGUGUUCU
rnacentral:rRNA from 1 species